rnacentral:rRNA from 1 species
UACGUAGGGAGCAAGCGUUGUUCGGAUUUACUGGGCGUAAAGGGCGCGUAGGCGGCAAUUCAAGUCAUCUGUGAAAUCUCCGGGCUUAACUCGGAACUGUCAGAUGAUACUGCUUUGCUAGAGUGCAGAAGGGGCAAUCGGAAUUCUUGGUGUAGCGGUGAAAUGCGUAGAUAUCAAGAGGAACACCUGAGGUGAAGACGGGUUGCUGGGCUGACACUGACGCUGAGGCGCGAAAGCUAGGGGAGCGAACGGG